rnacentral:rRNA from 1 species
AGCAUGAUCAGUCACACUGGAACUGAGACACGGUCCAGACUCCUACUGGAGGCAGCAGUUAAGAAUAUUGGACAAUGGGCGAANGCCUGAUCCCAGUCAUGCCGCGUGUGUGAAGAAGGUCUUCGGAUUGUAAAGCACUUUAAGUUGGGAGGAAGGGUACUUACCUAAUACGUGAGUAUUUUGACGUUACYGACAGAAUAAGCRCCGGCUAACUCUGUGYCAGCAGCCGCGGUAAUACAGAGGGUGCAAGCGUUAAUCGGAAUUACUGGGCGUAAAGCGCGCGUAGGUGGUUUGUUAAGUUGGAUGUGAAAGCCCCGGGCUCAWCCUSGGAACUGCAUCCUAMAACUGGCAAGCUAGAGUAUGGUMGAGGGUGGUGGAAUUUCCUGUGUAGCGGUGAAAUG